rnacentral:rRNA from 1 species
CCUACGGGAGGCAGCAGUAGGGAAUAUUGCUCAAUGGGGGAAACUCUGAAGCAGCAACGCCGCGUGAAGGAUGAAGGUUUUCGGAUUUUUAACUCCUUUUUUUAUGGGAGUUAAUGACGGUAUCUAACGAAUAAGCACCGGCUAACUCCGUGCCAGCAGCCGCGGUAAUACGGAGGGUGCAAGCGUUACUCGGAAUCACUGGGCGUAAAGAGAGCGUAGGUGGGAUAGCAAGUCAGAUGUGAAAUACUAUGGCUUAACCAUAGAACUGCAUUUGAAACUGUUAGUCUAGAGUAUGGGAGAGGUAGGUGGAAUUCUUGGUGUAGGGGUAAAAUCCGUAGAGAUCAAGAGGAAUACUCAUUGCGAAGGCGACCUGCUAGAACAUAACUGACGCUGAUGCGCGAAAGCGUGGGGAGCAAACAGGAUUAGAUACCCUUGUAGUC